UGUCUGUGUGUGCGUGUGACUGCCUUUGUGUGUGACUGCCUGUGUGUGUCUGUCUGCCUGUGUAUGUUACUGUCUGUGUGUGACUGUGUGUGUGUGUGACUGUGUGUGUGUAACGGUCUGCCUGUGUGUGUGUGACUGUCUGCCUGUGUGUGUGUGACUGUCUGCCUGUGUGUGUGUGGCUGUCUGCCUGUCUGUAUGUGUGGAUGUUUGCCUCGGUGUCAGUGACUGUCUGCCUCUGUGUUUGUGUGCGCACCUGCUAGUGAGGGAGCCUCUGUGUGUGUGUGCCUGCUAGUGAGUUUGUGUGUGUGUGUGUGUGCCUGCUAGUGAGUGAGCUUGUAUGUGUGUCAGUGAGCUUGUCUGUAGGGAUCAUGUGUGUGUGUGUUAGUGAGCUCUUGUCUGUAAGGAGCAUGGGUGUGAUCGUGAGCUUGUCUGUAGUGACCAUAUGUGUCAGUGAGCUUGUCUGUAGUGAGCGUGUGUGUCAUUGAGCUUGUCUGUAGUGACCGUAUGUGUCAGUGAGCUUGUCUGUAGUGAGCGUGUGUGUCAGUGAGCUUGUCUGUAGUGAGCACGUGUGUGUCAGUGAGCUUGUCUGUAGUGAAUCUGUGUUAGUGAGCUCUUCUGUAGGGAGCAUGUGUGUGUCAAUGGGCUUGUCAGUAGUAAGCUUGUCUGUGUAUCAGAGUUUGUCUGUACUAAAUUUGUGUGUCUGCCAGUAACCUUGUCUGUGUGUGUCAUUGAGAUUGUCUGUCAAUGAGCCUAUUUGUGUGCAUCAGUAAGAUUGUCUGUGUCUGUGUGUGAGUAUGCUUUACUGUAUACUUUAAUUACCCUGAAAGGACUAAUAUUUUGAAUUAGAAGAAGAAAUGUAUCAAUAAUAUAUAUAUAUACAUACAUUAAAGGACCA